UCAAAAAUAUUUUCAUCAUAAAUUAAAUGCAAAAAUUUAUCAUCUAAAACUGGUUUUAAAUAAACGCUGAAUAUCUGAAUCAAACUAAUUUCGGUGCAUUUACUUUCUAAUAUAAAGUUAAAAUUUGUAUACUCAUCUUAUAGAAAUAAGUUUGAAUGAAAAUUGUAUUGAAAGUUUUGGAAUGCAGAUAAGAAUGUGAGGAAAUACGGAACUAAUUGGUAACUUUGGCUGUACUAUCUGGAAAAUUGAAACAACCUUUGAAGUAUUGAAUUUUUUUCCUGGCAUGCUUGAAAUUAUAUGGACAAAUAAUCCGAUUUACUAGAUGAAAGAGAAAAAUCCAGUAAGUUGCCCGUUUCAAAAUUUGUCAGCACUUACUAUCCAAAUAUUCAUUUAAUCUUCUUUGAAUUAAUAGCAAUUGAUUAGAAAAUCGAAGAAAGCGAAUUGAUUACGCAACAUUUGGGGAGAAUCUAACAUAAUUUAAUAACUAUAAGGAAUUUAAGGUGAUAUUUGGGUAAUCUCUUAGCUUUCCUCAGGCGAAAUUAAUUUCGCCUAAGUUGAUUUGAACUUUGCGAAUGAUUUUAGAAUGCAUUUGGACCUCGUCUUUCGGUGUUCCGAAAUAAUUAGGGAAGAAAACUAGUUUCUUCAUUAGAAAUGUAUCUGUUCUGUUGAUAUUUGUAUAUUACUUGUCUUACUUGGGGUACUACAAUGAAACUCGGGAAGGUCCAUGAUAAUUUUUUCUUAAAGAAUAGACAAUAUAUGAAUAUAGAGAGUGAAAAAAUGCAGUGAAACGACAAUUUCCAGAUAAAGAUCAACAAGAAGUGGACUUCACAUGGAUUCAACUUGAAGUUUCAGAAAGAAGCCGGAAUAUUGAGACUAAAGUUCUUCUGGCUGCAUUGAGUAUAAUAUGAAACAAUAAUUCUCAAAUAUCCCAAGUACAACAAGUAAAGAUUAUCUUCAAACAAAUACGACCAAUACAGUAUAAAGGAAGCAAUUUUAUUACUAAAUGUUCCUUCUCGGCUUCUUGAAUUGUUUUACCCGUUUCAAAUACAUCUUCGAUCGACACUAACAACAUUGGUGCGUGCAGAAUGGGUGAAAUUGAA